rnacentral:misc_RNA from 1 species
GAUAGAACGCAGCGAAAUGCGAUAAGUAAUGUGAAUUGCAGAAUUCAGUGAAUCAUCGAAUCUUUGAACGCACAUUGCGCCCCCUGGUAUUCCGGGGGGCAUGCCUGUCCGAGCGUCAUUACAACCCUCAAGCUCAGCUUGGUGUUGGGCCCCGCCGCCCCGGCGGGCCCUAAAGUCAGUGGCGGUGCCGUCCGGCUCCGAGCGUAGUAAUUCUUCUCGCUCUGGAGGUCCGGUCGUGUGCUCGCCAGCAACCCCCAAUUUUUUUCAGGUUGACCUCGGAUCAGGUAGGGAUACCCGCUGAACUUAAGCAUAUCAAUAAGCGGAGGA